rnacentral:rRNA from 1 species
AUUGAACGCUGGCGGCAUGCCUUACACAUGCAAGUCGAACGGCAGCACGGGGCAACCUGGUGGCGAGUGGCGAACGGGUGAGUAAUGCAUCGGAACGUACCUUUCAGUGGGGGAUAACGUAGUGAAAGCUACGCUAAUACCGCAUAUUCUGUGAGCAGGAAAGCAGGGGAUCGCAAGACCUUGCGCUGAUUGAGCGGCCGAUGUCAGAUUAGCUAGUUGGUGAGGUAAAGGCUCACCAAGGCGACGAUCUGUAGCGGGUCUGAGAGGAUGAUCCGCCACACUGGAACUGAGACACGGUCCAGACUCCUACGGGAGGCAGCAGUGGGGAAUUUUGGACAAUGGGGGCAACCCUGAUCCAGCCAUGCCGCGUGAGUGAAGAAGGCCUUCGGGUUGUAAAGCUCUUUCGGCCGGGAAGAAAUCGCACGGGCUAAUACCCUGUGUGGAUGACGGUACCGGAAUAAGAAGCACCGGCUAACUACGUGCCAGCCGCCGCAGUAACAC